AUGGGGCAACAGCUGAAAUCACUGACUGUGAGUUUCUUUUUAAACCUUUGGGGGGAAACUUGGGGAAGAGCUGAACUCCAUGGGAAGAGGCUGAGAGAGAAGAGCUGGACCUGAGCUGAAGAGGAGCUGAAUAAGAACGCUUCUUGGGG